GACGAACGCUGGCGGCGUGCCUAAUACAUGCAAGUCGAACGCAGUGGGGACGGGUGAGUAACACGUGGGUAACCUCCCAUCAGAGGGGAUAACACUUGGACACAGGUGCUAAACCGAUAAUGCUGGAUGUACCCGCGGGGCAUUAGCUAGUUGGUGAGGUAACGGCCCACCAAGGCCACGAUGCAUAGCCGACCUAGGAGGGUGAUCGACCACAAUGGAACUGAGGCACGGCCCAGACUCCUACGGGAGGCAGCAGUAGGGAAUCUUCGGCAAUGGGCGAAAGUAUGACCGAGCAACGCCGCGUGAGUGAAGAAGGUUUUCGGAUCGUAAAACUCUGUUAUUAGAGAAGCGGUAUCUAACCAGAAAGCCACGGCUAACUACGUGCCAGCAGCCGCGGUAAUAC
rnacentral:rRNA from 1 species